GCGCACCAGGCGCGAAUCCUUCGCAAUGCGGGAAACCGCGACGAGGGGACUCCCAGUGCCUACGCUCAGCGCAGGCUGUUCCCGAGCCUAGAAAGCUCGGGGAGUAAGGGCUGGGUAAGACGGGUGCCAGCCGCCGCGGUAAUACCCGCAGCCCGAGUGGUGGCCACUAUUAUUGGGCCUAAAGCGUCCGUAGCCGGCCCGGUAAAUGCCUGGGUAAAUCGUGAGGCCUAACCUCACGAAUUCCGGGUAGACUGCCGGGCUAGGGACCGGAGGAGGGAGAGGGGUACUCCAGGGGGUAGGGGUGAAAUCCUGUAAUCCCUGGAGGACCACCGGUGGCGAAGGCGCUCUCCUAGGACGGGUCCGACGGUGAGGGACGAAAGCCAGGGGAGCGAACCGGAUUAGAUACCCGUGUAGU
rnacentral:rRNA from 1 species